GACGAACGCUGGCGGCGUGCUUAACACAUGCAAGUCGAACGGGCCAUCUCCUUCGGGGGGUGGUUAGUGGCGAACGGGUGAGUAACACGUGAGCAACCUGCCCCUGGCUCUGGGAUAACUCCGGGAAACCGGGGCUAAUACCGGAUAUGACACUGCCUUGCAUGGGGUGGUGUGGAAAGUUUUUCGGCUGGGGAUGGGCUCGCGGCCUAUCAGCUUGUUGGUGGGGUGAUGGCCUACCAAGGCGACGACGGGUAGCCGGCCUGAGAGGGCGACCGGCCACACUGGGACUGAGACACGGCCCAGACUCCUACGGGAGGCAGCAGUGGGGAAUAUUGCGCAAUGGGCGAAAGCCUGACGCAGCGACGCCGCGUGGGGGAUGAAGGCC
rnacentral:rRNA from 1 species